GCGCAGCAGGCGCGAAACCUCCGCAAUGCGCGAAAGCGCGACGGGGCCACCCCGAGUGCCGCCCGCUGAGGGCGGCUUUUCCCCGGUGUAGACAGCCGGGGGAAUAAGGGGAGGGCAAGUCUGGUGUCAGCCGCCGCGGUAAUACCAGCUCCCCGAGUGGUGGGGACGAUUAUUGGGCCUAAAGCGUCCGUAGCCGGCCCGGCAAGUCUCCCGUUAAAUCCAGCGAUCUAAUCGCUGGACUGCGGGAGAUACUGUCGGGCUAGGGGGGCGGGAGAGGCCGGCGGUAUUCCCGGGGUAGGGGUGAAAUCCUAUAAUCCCGGGAGGACCGCCAGUGGCGAAGGCUGCCGGCUGGAACGCGCCCGACGGUGAGGGACGAAAGCC
rnacentral:rRNA from 1 species